GUCGAGCGGACAGAAGGGAGCUUGCUCCCGGAUGUUAGCGGCGGACGGGUGAGUAACACGUGGGUAACCUGCCUGUAAGACUGGGAUAACUCCGGGAAACCGGAGCUAAUACCGGAUAGUUCCUUGAACCGCAUGGUUCAAGGAUGAAAGACGGUUUCGGCUGUCACUUACAGAUGGACCCGCGGCGCAUUAGCUAGUUGGUGAGGUAACGGCUCACCAAGGCGACGAUGCGUAGCCGACCUGAGAGGGUGAUCGGCCACACUGGGACUGAGACACGGCCCAGACUCCUACGGGAGGCAGCAGUAGGGAAUCUUCCGCAAUGGACGAAAGUCUGACGGAGCAACGCCGCGUGAGUGAUGAAGGUUUUCGGAUCGUAAAGCUCUGUUGUUAGGGAAGAACAAGUGCAAGAGUAACUGCUUGCACCUUGACGGUACCUAACCAGAAAGCCACGGCUAACUACGUGCCAGCAGCCGCGGUAAUACGUAGGUGGCAAGCGUUGUCCGGAAUUAUUGGGCGUAAAGGGCUCGCAGGCGGUUUCUUAAGUCUGAUGUGAAAGCCCCCGGCUCAACCGGGGAGGGUCAUUGGAAACUGGGAAACUUGAGUGCAGAAGAGGAGAGUGGAAUUCCACGUGUAGCGGUGAAAUGCGUAGAGAUGUGGAGGAACACCAGUGGCGAAGGCGACUCUCUGGUCUGUAACUGACGCUGAGGAGCGAAAGCGUGGGGAGCGAACAGGAUUAGAUACCCUGGUAGUCCACGCCGUAAACGAUGAGUGCUAAGUGUUAGGGGGGUUUCCGCCCCCUUAGUGCUGCAGCUAACGCAUUAAGCACUCCGCCUGGGGGAGUACGGUCGCAAGACUGAAACUCAAAGGAAUU
rnacentral:rRNA from 1 species